GGAGAUGGCAGGUUGUAGCUCAGAGGCAGAACGUCUGCUCUGCAUACAGAAAGUUCCAGGUUCAAUCCUUGGCAUCUCCA